ACGGAUCCUUCGGGUGACGGAUCGGAUGGAGAGCGGCGGACGGGUGAGUAACGCGUAGGUAACCUGCCCUGUACAGAGGGAUAGCCACUGGAAACGGUGAUUAAUACCUCAUAAUGCCGGAUCUGCACAUGCAGGACCGGUCAAAGUUUUUCGGUACAGGAUGGACCUGCGUCUGAUUAGCUUGUUGGUGGGGUAACGGCUCACCAAGGCGACGAUCAGUAGCCGACCUGAGAGGGUGAUCGGCCACAUUGGAACUGAGACACGGUCCAAACUCC
rnacentral:rRNA from 1 species